rnacentral:rRNA from 1 species
AUACGUAGGGUGCGAGCGUUGUCCGGAAUUACUGGGCGUAAAGAGCUCGUAGGUGGUUUGUCGCGUCGUCUGUGAAAUUCCGGGGCUUAACUCCGGGCGUGCAGGCGAUACGGGCAUAACUUGAGUACUGUAGGGGAGACUGGAAUUCCUGGUGUAGCGGUGAAAUGCGCAGAUAUCAGGAGGAACACCGGUGGCGAAGGCGGUUCUCUGGGCAGUAACUGACGCGGAGGAGCGAAAGCAUGGGUAGCGAACAGGAUUAGAUACCCUGGGAGUCCAUGCCGUAAACGGUGGGCGCUAGGUGUAGGGGUCUUCCACGACUUCUGUGCCGUAGCUAACGCAUUAAGCGCCCCGCCUGGGGAGUACGGCCGCAAGGCUAAAACUCAAAUGAAUUGACUGGG